UGAACGCUGGCGGCGUGCCUAAUACAUGCAAGUCGAACGAGUUCUGAUUAUUGAAAGGUGCUUGCAUCUUGAUUUAAUUUUGAACGAGUGGCGGACGGGUGAGUAACACGUGGGUAACCUGCCCUUAAGUGGGGGAUAACAUUUGGAAACAGAUGCUAAUACCGCAUAAAUCCAAGAACCGCAUGGUUCUUGGCUGAAAGAUGGCGUAAGCUAUCGCUUUUGGAUGGACCCGCGGCGUAUUAGCUAGUUGGUGAGGUAACGGCUCACCAAGGCAAUGAUACGUAGCCGAACUGAGAGGUUGAUCGGCCACAUUGGGACUGAGACACGGCCCAAACUCCUACGGGAGGCAGCAGUAGGGAAUCUUCCACAAUGGACGCAAGUCUGAUGGAGCAACGCCGCGUGAGUGAAGAAGGCUUUCGGGUCGUAAAACUCUGUUGUUGGAGAAGAAUGGUCGGCAGAGUAACUGUUGUCGGCGUGACGGUAUCCAACCAGAAAGCCACGGCUAACUACGUGCCAGCAGCCGCGGUAAUACGUAGGUGGCAAGCGUUAUCCGGAUUUAUUGGGCGUAAAGCGAGCGCAGGCGGUUUUUUAAGUCUGAUGUGAAAGCCCUCGGCUUAACCGAGGAAGUGCAUCGGAAACUGGGAAACUUGAGUGCAGAAGAGGACAGUGGAACUCCAUGUGUAGCGGUGAAAUGCGUAGAUAUAUGGAAGAACACCAGUGGCGAAGGCGGCUGUCUGGUCUGUAACUGACGCUGAGGCUCGAAAGCAUGGGUAGCGAACAGGAUUAGAUACCCUGGUAGUCCAUGCCGUAAACGAUGAAUGCUAGGUGUUGGAGGGUUUCCGCCCUUCAGUGCCGCAGCUAACGCAUUAAGCAUUCCGCCUGGGGAGUACGACCGCAAGGUUGAAACUCAAAGGAAUUGACGGGGGCCCGCACAAGCGGUGGAGCAUGUGGUUUAAUUCGAAGCAACGCGAAGAACCUUACCAGGUCUUGACAUCUUUUGAUCACCUGAGAGAUCAGGUUUCCCCUUCGGGGGCAAAAUGACAGGUGGUGCAUGGUUGUCGUCAGCUCGUGUCGUGAGAUGUUGGGUUAAGUCCCGCAACGAGCGCAACCCUUAUGACUAGUUGCCAGCAUUUAGUUGGGCACUCUAGUAAGACUGCCGGUGACAAACCGGAGGAAGGUGGGGAUGACGUCAAAUCAUCAUGCCCCUUAUGACCUGGGCUACACACGUGCUACAAUGGACGGUACAACGAGUUGCGAGACCGCGAGGUCAAGCUAAUCUCUUAAAGCCAUUCUCAGUUCGGACUGUAGGCUGCAACUCGCCUACACGAAGUCGGAAUCGCUAGUAAUCGCGGAUCAGCACGCCGCGGUGAAUACGUUCCCGGGCCUUGUACACACCGCCCGUCACACCAUGAGAGUUUGUAACACCCGAAGCCGGUGGCGUAACCCUUUUAGGGAGCGAGCCGUCUAAGGUGGGACAAAUGAUUAGGGUGAAG
rnacentral:rRNA from 1 species